rnacentral:lncRNA from 1 species
AACAGGUAGAGGGAACAAACUAACGAAAAAUGGCAAUCUGCACCGUGUACACAACCCAAUCUCUCAACUCAACAUGCUCAGUCUCUAAACCAGCGAAACCUCAAUUGGGUUUCCACCAGAAGCAGGUGGUUUUCUUCACCAAAAGCAGGAGAAGAUCGGGCAUGAGCAGCUGCGGCAGCAGUGUGAUAACGUGCUCAGCUGGAGAGCAACGGACAGUGGUCAUAGGGUUGGCUGCAGAC